CGUCGGCCAUAGAAUCGAGAAAACAUCGCAUCCCGUCUGAUCUGCGUAAUCUUUAACCUCGAUAUCGCUCAGUUAGUACCAUCGUGGGGGACCAGGUGGGAAUCCUGAGUGCUGACGUU